GGAGGGGGCAAGUGUGAGAGAGGGGCGGGGGGCAUGCUUUGGGAUCCGGCGCCGCGCGGCGCGGCGGGGUUUUGGGGCGCCGGCUGCCACCGAGGGCGUACCUGGGGCGGCGCGGCCUGGGGCUGCCGCCGCCGGAGGGCGGCGCGCCUAGGCUGCGGCGGCUGCAGCGGCCGUUGUGCACCCUGGAGCGGGGGAAGAGCGGCGGCGGGCGACGCGAGGCGCCGCCGCUCGAGAUGUAGAUGGCGUUGCGGAUGUUGGACCAGGGCGCGAGGUAGCCGCUCACGGCGCCCCCCGAGUCCCGCGAGUUCAAGAAGCCGUUGCUGCAGCUCCACGACGGGGGCCUCCGGCCCCUGGACCUGCCCGAGGUAUCGGAGGUCGAGUUCCAGAGGCGCGGGUCCCAGAGGCCCCGGCACGAGGCCGCCUACGCCCGCGAGUCCCUCGAGCUCGAGAGGUACCACGGCGGGUCCGGGAGGCGGACGAGGUAUGAGCAGCUCUAGCGGCCGGAGUUCACGGAGUGGUUCGAGUGGUAGACGGUGAAGAGGUAGUCCAAGGAGGGGGGACUCUAACCAAGGGAGUCCUUCGAGGUUCUUGAACUAGACAGAAAGUUGUUCGACUUCUUGAACGGAUUGACCUAUUGGCUCAACGCCCGGGACUUUAAGGAGUUUCACUGAUUAUUAUUCAACCAUCUAAAUGGUAGUCCCUAGAGAAGAAACUCUACAGAACUUUCGGAACUGAAUAGCUUGUUAUCUAACUGUAGGGAACCUAGUCAACUUGAUCAGAGAUACGAAUGUGACGUCAUAGAAUUAGAAGUCAAAUUAUCCUAAAGGGUAAGAAAAUACUAUGGGAGAACCCAUACGACACUGUACUCCCUUUUACCACUUUAAGGAAACUUCUCACUGUUCGAUGUUGCAGAUCCAUAGCGUUUGUAUUUGUCUAGUCGUCUUGGAUCUGGACGUUCAGUACGAACGUUACCGCACGAGAGUACGAGUGGGUGUCUAUAAAGGGGGUUAAAUUUUCGAGUAUGGCGUGUCUUUUACUUCUUCCCGACCUUCGCUGCCCUAACGGACGUUGUCGUCCGAGCGGUGCUCGCAAACCUCAGGUCGUCCUCGUCCGAAACACUUUUACUGUAACUACUUUACCGACACUUGUACUGACUUCUACUAUACCUUUUGUCCGGUCACUACUUUCUGUAACAACUUCUUUCAAGUCGUGUCCUAAACUUUCUUUGUUCAAGAUAUAGACUUCUGGAUAGAACGUAUUAGCUAAUACUGAGUCUACCCGAAUAUUUUCUAUCACCGUACUACGAAGUCCUGGUUAUACCGCUACCUUUUUGACCUUAUUUAUACUCUUCAACAGUACUGUUGUUAAGACCAUAGUCGUGGCUAGGUCGAACAAACCCGUCAUAACUUUUACUUGAACUCCUAUGGCGAAGUAGUUGGGCGUUACGUCAACUUCAACAACUUCUCUUGUGAAGUCUCCGUAGAUUCGAAUGUGACUUUAGAUUUUCCGUAGGACUAUACCUGUUAUUAGGGUUUGGGUCGUUUACGGGUUCUGGUUAACUACUUAGGAGCUUCAAUAGGAUAUUCAUGUCGCACCUCAGUAAAACGUCGUAUCUACUGGUAAAUGGCCUACCUAAAAUACUGCGCCCCGCUCUAUACGGCAAGUACGGUAAUCUCCUCAUGCUUGCCUCAGAGCCUGACAUACGCGCACUUCAAUAAGAAAACCUGUCUCUUGUUCUACUUCUUAACCUGCGUUAACGAAGAAGUCGUGUUGACAACAAUAGGUCAAACUUCUCCGGUUCAAUAAGGCUUUGUCUACUUCUACGUCCAGUCCUGAACGAUUCCCGUAGUCAAGAACGAAACAAACAGAGACUGACAAAACCUCCAACACUAGCUUCACGAAGAGACUCCUCUUGUGCCCCUCGAUAACAAUCGAACUCCUUCCUCGUUGGUAAGUAAACAUGAACACGACGGCCAUCGUACACACUAUCGUUACUUCGUAGUUUUGUUCGGUCAUGGGGAGGGCCCGUGAAGUUAAAAUGACCAGAGACACUAUUUAGUUAUGUGUAGUAAUUCCUUUCCUUAUUAAGUCCGUAACAUGGUUAUCCCCGUAACGUCAAACCACAAACGUCCGUGGCUCGACAGGAUUACUUCAUAAACACACUGGCCCGCCUGGGAGGUUAAGGAACACUCGAACACUCCCCCGUAGAACUGAUGUGCGGAGUACGAACCUUACAACAGGGAUAAUCUGUUCCCUUAUAGAACCAUUCCUACUAACAACUACGCACAAUGGGGUGCUUGUAUUUCCUUCUCUGCCUAGGUCUCAUGAAGACGUCCAUACAAGGGGAGUCAGCUGACGUGCAACGCGAACUACUACUUCCGAUAUGUGGAGCCAGAAGGAAGGGAAGCCAGAGUGAUACGUUUCUUUAACUUCGAUGUCGAAGGUCGCGACAGAUGGUGACGUUUUAACCAAGUCAACUACGUCGUCGUUUCUAUGCCAUGGAUCUAUGGGCCGCACGAAGAUUACUACUUCAUUUUUUUAAACUUAUGUUCGAAGAACCCCUUCAUUCUUACUACUUACGAGAUUCCUUCGUGUCUAGGUAUCACCUGUAUAUACCAGUGGUUGAAAGAAGAUUUACCCAAGUUCUACUAUCACUAUUCCUCAUGUCCUAUUACGUCAGACAUUAAAAUUACCUUAUACACUUUCCUCCAAGUGACUUCCCGAUAAACUGUUUUGAUGACUUUCUCCCGUUCUUUGUACAUGGACACCUGGACCGUAAAAUGUAACGAGCUCUUCAACGAAGACGAAACAACCUCUACGUGUCCUUCGAUCAAUAAGUGGCCCUGUAUUUUUCGCUCUUACAAAACCAACUAAACCUAAGCUUCUCCUCAGUACCCUGUGGUCAUCAGUUUGAGAGACUAAAGCUGUCUAGGUAAGGAAACGUAAGAGAUAGGGUAUGUACGACAUAUCGAGUGGAACCGUGUAUAGGUGGGUUACAAACACAACCCUGUGGAACAACCUACCGAGGUCUCCAAGAAGUCCGGUACGUACUCUUUUGGGUCAUACCUGACCUUCACCUAUAGACCAGUAUACCCACAAAAUAUAAGCUCUACGAAUGUGAAGCGUAUGGGAUGCUCCCUGAUGGUCUAAGUCUUUAUAUACUAGAGUAUUUCUCCUUCUUUGUUUCCGGUUCCGAUUGAUUUCUUAAUCUUCGCAAGACCUGUCACCUGCUCGGUUAAUGUUCCGACUUCAACCCCUAGUGUAGACUACGAGUACGUCUCUUUGAUUCUAAAGAUUAACUAGAUAAGAUGGUCACGUGGUCUCCUUGACGUAGAUCCGCGGGGUUCCGGCUCGUUUAAAUGUUAAGCGAAACGAGGAAUGGGUGUACGAUACUGGACUCGACUGGGGCACCUAAGACUUACUCUUUCGACUACCAAUCCGUCAGAGCGACGGUCUAGCCGGAGCCAGUCCUGUCCAAUUUGCCCUGUCGAUAUCGUCCAGUAACCUAGACCGGUCGAAGACUCACGGAGCCCCGAGCUUGGUCUUGUGAGGCGUAAAGUGACUACAACCAGAAGCCCACCACCGCCUUUUUCAGUUUGGUUCCGCUACCCGCUGAAACCGGCGACUUCGAGGAGGACCCAGUCAAAACGUCGUCGCGACGUACGACCGAAGUGGACAACAUCGUCAGAGGUAGGACCAGCACACACAUACACAUACAGUACAUUAUAAAAAGAAGUAUUAAACGUUAAAAGGUAUUGAAUAAUAAGUUAGCUCAGAAGAUUCAAUAGCUAAAUCCAGUUCCGAGGUAAAAAUACAUAGACACAUGCAUGCUAACAGCCAGGUCGCCACUCGGUACAUUGAAAUCUUACGACUCAACACAUUGUUUGCCCUUGCCCUGUUAAAAAAUUGUCUCCGACACACAAUACUAAAGGGACGGUCGUUAACAUAAGUAUCAACAGCGGCCGGUUUUGCAAUGUCCGCGACACCGACACGUUUCAGUUCUCAAAAUAAGUCG
rnacentral:rRNA from 1 species